GACGAACGCUGGCGGCGUGCUUAACACAUGCAAGUCGAACGGAAAGGCCCUGCUUUUGUGGGGUGCUCGAGUGGCGAACGGGUGAGUAACACGUGAGUAACCUGCCCUUGACUUUGGGAUAACUUCAGGAAACUGGGGCUAAUACCGGAUAGGAGCUCCUGCUGCAUGGUGGGGGUUGGAAAGUUUCGGCGGUUGGGGAUGGACUCGCGGCUUAUCAGCUUGUUGGUGGGGUAGUGGCUUACCAAGGCUUUGACGGGUAGCCGGCCUGAGAGGGUGACCGGCAACAUUGGGACUGAGGUACGGCCCAGACUCCUACGGGAGGCAGCAGUGGGGAAUAUUGCACAAUGGGCGGAAGCCUGAUGCAGCAACGCCGCGUGCGGGAUGACGGCCUUCGGGUUGUAAACCGCUUUCGCCUGUGACGAAGCGUGAGUGACGGUAAUGGGUAAAGAAGCACCGGCUAACUACGUG
rnacentral:rRNA from 1 species